rnacentral:rRNA from 1 species
AUUGAACGCUGGCGGCAGGCCUAACACAUGCAAGUCGAGCGGAUGAAGGGAGCUUGCUCCUGGAUUCAGCGGCGGACGGGUGAGUAAUGCCUAGGAAUCUGCCUGGUAGUGGGGGAUAACGUCCGGAAACGGGCGCUAAUACCGCAUACGUCCUGAGGGAGAAAGUGGGGGAUCUUCGGACCUCACGCUAUCAGAUGAGCCUAGGUCGGAUUAGCUAGUUGGUGGGGUAAAGGCCUACCAAGGCGACGAUCCGUAACUGGUCUGAGAGGAUGAUCAGUCACGCUGGAACUGAGACACGGUCCAGACUCCUACGGGAGGCAGCAGUGGGGAAUAUUGGACAAUGGGCGAAAGCCUGAUCCAGCCAUGCCGCGUGUGUGAAGAAGGUCUUCGGAUUGUAAAGCACUUUAAGUUGGGAGGAAGGGCAGUAAGUUAACACCUUGCUGUUUUGACGUUACCAACAGAAUAAGCACCGGCUAACUUCGUG